AACGAACGCUGGCGGCAUGCCUAACACAUGCAAGUCGAACGAGACCUUCGGGUCUAGUGGCGCACGGGUGCGUAACGCGUGGGAGCCUGCCCUUAGGUUCGGAAUAACUCCCCGACAGGGGUGCUAAUACCGGAUAAUGUCUUCGGACCAAAGAUUUAUCGCCUUUGGAUGGGCCCGCGUUGGAUUAGCUAGUUGGUAGGGUAAAAGCCUACCAAGGCGACGAUCCAUAGCUGGUCUGAGAGGAUGAUCAGCCACACUGGGACUGAGACACGGCCCAGACUCCUACGGGAGGCAGCAGUGGGGAAUAGUGGACAAUGGGGGAAAGCCUGAUCCAGCAAUGCCGCGUGAGUGAUGAAGGCCUUAGGGUUGUAAAGCUCUUUUACCCGGGAUGAUAAUGACAGUACCGGGAGAAUAAGCUCCGGCUAACUCCGUG
rnacentral:rRNA from 1 species